rnacentral:rRNA from 1 species
UACGGAGGGUGCGAGCGUUAUCCGGAAUCAUUGGGUUUAAAGGGUCCGUAGGCGGGACAUUAAGUCAGGGGUGAAAUGUUGCAGCUCAACUGCAGAAUGGCCUUUGAUACUGGUGUUCUUGAAUUAUGUUGCUGUGGUCGGAACAUGUGGUGUAGCGGUGAAAUGCAUAGAUAUCACAUAGAACGCCGAUUGCGAAGGCAGGUCACUAAGCAUAUACUGACGCUGAGGGACGAAAGCGUGGGGAGCGAACGGG